rnacentral:rRNA from 1 species
AACGCUGGCGGCGUGCCUAACACAUGCAAGUCGAACGAGGUCCAUCCUUCGGGAGAAGACCUAGUGGCGAACGGGUGAGUAACACGUGAAGACCUGCCCCGAAGACCGGGAUAACCCUCCGAAAGGAGAGGCUAAUACCCGGAUACCCCCACCGAACCGCAUGGUUUGGGGAGGAAAUGGAUUCCGCUUCGGGAGGGCUUCGCGGCCUAUCAGCUAGUUGGUGGGGUAACGGCCCACCAAGGCAUCGACGGGUAGCUGGUCUGAGAGGACGAUCAGCCACACUGGGACUGAGACACGGCCCAGACUCCUACGGGAGGCAGCAGUGGGGAAUCUUGCGCAAUGGGCGAAAGCCUGACGCAGCAACGCCGCGUGGGGAUGAAGGCUCUCGGGUUGUAAACCCCUUUCAGCAGGGACGAAUCAAGACGGUACCUGCAGAAGAAGCCCCGGCUAACUACGUG